CUGGUGUUUCAAAUCCACUCAUGAAUUUAACCAAAACACAAAAGUUCGGGGAGGCCCUGCUAGGCAGAGAUCAAAGCUCAGGGAAGGUUUGGGGGAUGUGGAUGCGACCCCUUUAAAGCAGGCACGGCCUGACCUCCGGCUGGAGAAGCCAAGACCCGUCUUCAGAAAUCAGAGUAAUCCCGGGUGAUUUUAUCCCACUCCACUUCCCUAAAUCUGCGGCUGCUGCUGCUUGGCGAGGGGAUUAAGGGCUGGCAGGGGAUUACCAACGCUGCAGCUCCCAGCGCGGAGCUCCCUCCUGGAGCGGCCGCUCGGGGACACGGAGCCGCUCCGCACCCACGGGAGCGCUCCGCGGGCCGGGACACGGAGCCGCUCCCCGGGCCGGGACACGGAGCCGCUCCGCACCCACGGGAGCGCUCCCCGGGCCGGGACACGGAGCCGCUCCCCGGGCCGGGACACGGAGCCGCUCCCCGGGCCGGGACACGGAGCCGCUCCGCAGCCGCAGCGGCGCUCCCGGGGCAGAGGCGGCCGCGGUGCCCCCGGGGCUCGGCCCCGCCCCGCCAGGGCUCCCGGGCCGGCAGCAUGGCCCAGGGCAGCAGGAAGGGCGGGCAGGCCCCGCACGCCGCCGGCAGGAGCCCCUGCUGAUGGCCGCUGCCCGGAGGAUGGGGCCCUGGGCUGUCCCCUGGAUGAUGCUGUGUCUGCUCUGCCUCCCGCCCUGUGCCAGGGCGCAGACGAAGAUCCCGCUGGAGACGGUGAAGUCCUGGGCAGAUGCCUUUGGUGGGGAGCUGUACUCCAUUGUGACUAAGUACUCAGGCUCUCUCCUGUUGCAGAAGAAGUACAAAGAUGUGGAGCCAACUCUGAAAAUCAAGGAGGUGGAUGGCUUGGAGCUGGUGAAGAAGUUCUCAGAGCAGAUGGAGAGCAUGCUCCGCAGGAAGGUGGAAGCUGUUGAGAGGCUGGUGGAAGCAGCAGAAGAUGCAGAUCUGAACCAUGAGUACAACUCCUCGCUGGAGUUUGAUUACUACAACUCUCUCCUGAUUAACGAUAAGGAUGAAAAUGACAAUUAUGUGGAGCUUGGGGAUGAAUUCAUUCUGGAGCCAAAUGAGCAUUUCAAUAACCUGCUGGUGAACACAACCUACAGUGAUAUCCAGCUGCCCACCAACGUCUACAACAAAGACCCUGCCAUACUCAAUGGAGUUUACAUGUCAGAAGCCCUGAAUCCUAUUUUUGUGGACAACUUUGAAAGGGAUCCCACACUGACCUGGCAGUACUUUGGCAGCUCCACUGGAUUCUUCAGGCUGUACCCAGGAAUAAAGUGGCUACCAGAUGAGAACGGAGUCAUCUCCUUUGACUGCAGAAACCGUGGCUGGUACAUCCAAGCAGCCACCUCUCCCAAGGACAUUGUCAUCAUUGUGGAUGUCAGUGGCAGCAUGAAGGGCCUGAGGAUGACCAUUGCCAAGCACACCAUCGUCACCAUUUUGGAUACUCUGGGAGAAAAUGACUUUGUCAACAUCAUUGCAUACAAUGAUUAUGUUCAUUUUAUCGAGCCCUGUUUUAAGGGUAUCUUGGUCCAAGCAGACAGAGAUAACAGAGAGCACUUCAAGCAGCUGGUGGAGGAACUGCAGGCAAAAGGAGUGGGCACUGUGAGCAAGGCUUUGACAGAGUCCUUCAAAAUCCUGAGAGAGUUCAGAGAUGCUGGCCAAGGAGGUUUGUGUAACCAAGCCAUCAUGCUGAUCACUGAUGGAGCCGUGGAGGAUUAUGAAGCUGUGUUUGAAAAAUACAACUGGCCCGAUCGGAAGGUCCGGGUGUUCACGUACCUCAUUGGACGAGAGGUCACUUUUGCCCCCAACGUCAAGUGGAUCGCCUGCAACAACAAAGGCUACUACACUCAAAUCUCCACGCUGGCAGAUGUCCAGGAGAAUGUCAUGGAGUACCUGCACGUGCUCAGCCGGCCCAUGGUCAUCAACCACGACCACGAUAUCAUCUGGACUGAAGCCUACAUGGACAGCGCGCUCUUUGCGUCGCAGGCUCAGAGCCUGCUGCUCAUGACGACCGUGGCCAUGCCGGUGUUCAGCAAGAAGAACGAGACGCGAUCCCAUGGCAUUCUUCUGGGUGUGGUGGGCUCUGAUGUACCACUGAGGGAGUUGUUAAAACUUGCUCCACGGUAUAAGCUGGGUGUCCAUGGCUACGCCUUCCUGAACACCAACAACGGCUACAUCCUGUCCCACCCAGACCUCCGGCCUUUGUAUAAAGAAGGAAAGAAACUGAAGCCUAAGCCGAACUACAACAGCGUAGAUCUUUCAGAAGUGGAGUGGGAAGACCAGGAUGAAAUACUGAGAAGUGCUAUGAUCAAUGGGGAGACAGGCUACCUCUCUAUGGAUGUGAAGGUCCCUGUGGACAAAGGGAAACGAGUUCUCUUCCUCACCAAUGAUUAUUUCUUUACGGACAUCAGUGGCACACCCUUCAGCCUGGGUGUUGUGCUGUCCAGGGGGCACGGGGAGUACAUUCUGCUGGGGAACACUUCAGUGGAAGAAGGUUUGCACGACCUGCUCCAGCCAGACCUGUCUUUAGCAAAUGAAUGGAUUUACUGCAUCACCGACAUUGAUCCCGACCACCGGAAGCUCAGCCAGCUGGAGGCUGUGAUCCGUUUCCUCACUGGAGAGGAGCCUGACCUGGAAUGUGACGAGGAGUUGGUCCAGGAAGUGCUGUUUGAUGCAGUGGUCACUGCCCCCAUGGAGGCCUACUGGACAACACUAGCCCUCAACAUGUCCUUGGAUACCGAGGCAGGCGUUGAGAUGGCGUUUCUGGGCACUCGGGCUGGACUCAUGAGGAGCGCCCUGUAUGUGGGCUCUGAGAAGAUUUCCAACAAGAAAUUCCUGACACAGAAGGACAAGGAAAGCAUCUUCACCAUGGACCACUUCCCUCUGUGGUACCGCAGGGCGGCCGAGCAUCCCCCCGGCAGCUUCAUCUACAGCAUUGUCUCAGAAGAUGAGUCAGAGGGAGGUGGCCUGCCAAAAGUGGUGACAGUGAGCACGGCUGUGUCUGUGUCUGUGGAUGGGAAGAUGGGAAUUGCUGCAGCUGUGGGUGUGCAAAUAAAGCUGGAUUUGCUCCAACGCAAGUUUUGGAUGGCCAUGCAACAGCCCAAUGACACUGAUUGCCGUGGCUUGGAUGGUGCCUGUCCACUCAGCUGUCAGGAUGAUAUUCUGAACUGCUUCCUCAUUGACAACAACGGCUUUAUACUUGUUUCCAAAAUACCUGAAGAGACUGGAAAAUUUUUUGGUGCAGUGGAUGGCUCAGUGAUGACCCAGCUGCUAAACAUGGGCAUGUUCAGGCGAGUGACCAUGUAUGAUUACCAGGCAAUGUGCAAGGUGCCCUACCACCACCACAGCGGCGCCCGACCCCUGCUCAGCCCAAUUUAUGCCUUUGUAGCUGCAGUGAAGUGGCUGAUAAGUGAUUUCCUCAUCUUCCUUUUGGAGUUUAACAUGAGUAGCUUCUGGCACUCAGACAACUUGGCAGAUGCCAAGGCUGUCUUCCAUCACUCUCACAAGCACAAGAAGCACGACACGCUGCAGCCCUGCGACACCGAGUACCCCGUGUUCGUCUACGAGCCGGCCAUCAAGGAGACCAACGGGCUCAUCGACUGUGGAGACUGCCAAAAGAUGUUUGUGGCACAGCAGAUCGUCAGCAGUAACCUCCUGCUCCUUGUCACAGACACUGUCUGCGAUUGCAGCGUCUUCCCACCCGUCCCAAUGGAUGCAAAAGAGGUCAAAUAUAUCCUUCCAUGCACAGCAGGGAUGCAGGGCUCCACAGGCCCUGUUUACCAGGGUGGAAAAUGUGCUUCUGCUGUCAUUGCCGUGGGGGUGGAGAGCAUGAACUGGCUUGGAGAGGUCUCCAGCCCGUGCAGAGUGACCUGCCCUUCCCUCGUCCUCCCGGGUGGUGCAGUUCCACCCAGCCAAACUUGUGUGGGGGCCCAGGGGGUCUGUGUGGCAUCCAUCCCCUUUCCCUGCCCGCCCCGGCGGUCCUUAACAGCCCCGCACACAACGCGUCGGUGAAGUGCGAGAGGAUGCGCUCCCAGAAGCUGCGCCGGCGGCCGGACUCGUGCCACGCUUUCCACCCUGAGGAAAAUGCCCAGGACUGCGGUGGCGCUGCUGGGAUCUCAGUGUGCCCGACGCUGCUGCUGCUGCUGCCCCUGGUGCUGCUCCUGCGGUGACGCUGCCUGCGGUGCGAGGGCAGGAGAUGGGGUCCCCUCCUGGGACACCCUCCGCCACUUCCCGAGGUGUCCUUCAGCACAAGGUCCAGCGCGGUGCCGACCGUGGGAGCUGCUGGCUCCUCGGAAGGAGGUGCGACAGCAGCAAGGGCAGCUCCUGGCACAGCAGCUGCUGAGCGGCUCCUCCCAGACACCGCUCACAGCCGGGAAUGCUGCGAUCCUGGGCACGGAGAACAUUCCACAUCAGCCUGCCUCCCACCGAGCCACCGGGCUACCGGCGGCAGAGGGCUCGGAGGGGCAGAGCUGGCUCUAGGGGACACCACCUGCCUGUCGCUCAGGGUGAGCCACCGGGAUUUUGAACGCCCAGGUCUGGAAGCAGCAUGUCCUGGUCUUGGGGGUGGUCCCCAGGCAUAGGACACGGCACCAAAGCUGAAUGGCACCGAGCCCAGCUGGAGCUGGGCAGUGGGAGGCAGCACAGAUGAACUGGAGAGCUGCAGCUCCUCUGCCAAGGAGACCUCUCCUAACACUGCUAAGGCACCAUCCAGGCUCUUGUCCACAUGUGGACUUACCUCUGGAAAGGGGUUUUGUAUGACCCACCAGAAGAGACUUACCUGCUCUCUUCAUUGCAGAAGCAGCCAGGAAACAGGCACUUUUCCCCUGGGAGCAGCACUGCCCUGCUCAUUGCAGCUGCCCUUGGUUGUUCCUGAGCCUGGCAUUCCCAGCUGGUGGGCACGGGCCAUUUCUCACAGAGCUUUACGGACAAUGGGUGGGAAGCACCCAUUUCUCUUUUUUAUGAACUGUUCCAUACCAUCUCAUUAAAAAAUAUAUAUAUAUGGCAUAUUCUCCAUAGACACCAUAGCUUCAGCAUGUUUGGUGGUCAUCACAGCCCCACACAAAUCCCAGAAACCUGUGGGGACAGGGUGUGGGUGGAGGGACUGCAAACACAGCU